GACAGAGGAUGCAAGCGUUAUCCGGAAUGAUUGGGCGUAAAGCGUCUGUAGGUGGCUUUUUAAGUCCGCCGUCAAAUCCCAGGGCUCAACCCUGGACAGGCGGUGGAAACUACCAAGCUGGAGUACGGUAGGGGCAGAGGGAAUUUCCGGUGGAGCGGUGAAAUGCGUAGAUAUCGGGAAGAACACCAACGGCGAAAGCACUCCGCUGGGCUGAUACUGACACUGACAGACGAAAGCUAGGGUAGCGAAAGGG
rnacentral:rRNA from 1 species